CCCGAUGGGGUGCGUGGUGGAAAGAGUUUAUACGGUCUUGGAUGGACUCGCGGCCUAUCAGCUUGUUGGUGAGGGUAAUGGCUCACCAAGGCGAUGACGGGUAGCCGGCCUGAGAGGGUGACCGGCCACACUGGGACUGAGACACGGCCCAGACUCCUACGGGAGGCAGCAGUGGGGAAUAUUGCACAAUGGGCGAAAGCCUGAUGCAGCGACGCCGCGUGCGGGAUGACGGCCUUCGGGUUGUAAACCGCUUUCAGCAGGGAAGAAGCGAAAGUGACGGUACCUGCAGAAGAAGCGCCGGCUAACUACGUGCCAGCAGCCGCGGUAAUACGUAGGGCGCGAGCGUUAUCCGGAAUUAUUGGGCGUAAAGAGCUCGUAGGCGGUUUGUCACGUCUGCUGUGAAAGCCCGGGGCUCAACCCCGGGUGUGCAGUGGGUACGGGCAGACUAGAGUGCAGUAGGGGAGACUGGAAUUCCUGGUGUAGCGGUGAAAUGCGCAGACUAUCCAGGAGGAACACCGAUGGCCGGUCGACGCGGCCG
rnacentral:rRNA from 1 species